ACACUUUACAAAGGAGCAGGUUAAAGAGCUUACUCUUUGUUAUGUCAGUACCUAUCAGUUUUAACUAUUAAUACAAGAAUACAGUCCUUUAUUUUACAAUACAGGUUUCAAAUGUAUUCUAUUAGAUUCAAACAACUUUAUUGAUCCCUCUUGGGGCAAUUGGUGGUCUUUUAAGUUUAUAUUCAUAAGUUAGUCGUGUCCACUCACCAGGCGAGAUCUUCUUUGCUGCCUUUAGUGAGUCAAUGAACUUCAGACUGCAGAGAAGGCACGAAAUCAAGACCAACCUUUAUUUUACUAAAUGGGUGGCACACUGACUGCUUACCUGCGAGGUCUGCAGGGCACUGUGCCAGGUGAGGACGGUGAGGACUCAAUGCUCCAGGGACCAGCUGCUGCAGCUGAACUUUGCCGGUCCAGCUCAGCCGACUGAUCCCACGCUGCAACUACCGGACUUUAUUCUGAGAGAUGAACAUGGUGGUGUUAAGAUGGACAAGAAGAGAAAGCGGGGCAAACGAGGAGGCGUCAGACUACACAUGAGGAAACAGCGGCUCACUGGGAUUCCUCUGCCCACGGUUAUCAUGGGGAACGUAUCGUUACGCCCUUUUUUACCUGCCCCGCGAGCUCCCUCAACUUUUUAAUACUAUGGUGUAUGGCUUUAUUCACCUGAAGGUAGACGCUGCCUCUGCCUCAGGUACCGUCUUGUAAUGCAGAAACUGCAGUCGAUCUCGCCUGAUGCACUGAACUUCAUACUGUUUGUUUUUAAUCACGUCUCUCUCAAAAACUCACUCAUGUCACCUGUCCAACUAGACAGACAUCGGAUCUUUGUUAUGGGUCUGUUAAGGACAAAUACAAAUCCCUCCCACUUCCUCCUCUGGGCUCGGCGGAUCAUAACUGCCCACGCAGGACUGUUUUAAAGAGAGACAAAGUUAAGACUAAAGACAUGAAGGUCUGGUCAGGAGAGGCAGUUAUCUGCCUGCAAGAAUGUUAGAACUGCAUUGACUGGGACAUUUUUACACAGUCCCGUGGAGAUGAUGUGGACCCCUUGGUGGAUGUAUACCUGCUCAUAUGUGACCUUCUGUAGGGACAUGAUCAUCCCCUGUAAGCGUGUUAAAAAUGUAGCCUUUCCCAACAAUAAACCAUGAGUUACCUCAUCUGUAAAGUCCUGCUUAAGAAGGAAGAAAUUUUGAAGAGGGAUCAUCAUCUGAUAUACAUUCAGCUACUAAGGAGCUGAAGAUUGAACUUUAAAAUCAAAGCUGAACUACAAGUCAGAACUGGAAAUUUUGGCUCAGCCUGCAUGGGCGACUAUGAAAACCAUAGCAGGUCUCCAAAAUACAGAGAGUAUCAUUCAUGUCAUUUUAGAUGCUUUUAACUCAGAUACUGAAUUGGCUAAUGUUCUUAAUUGCUUUGACUGUCGUUUUGAUCCUCUUGACUUUAGCACCCUGAGUACCAGCCCCUCCCUUCAGGUAGAUGAUACAGGGUACCCUUACAGUAGGAACAAGAGCUUCAAAUAUUCCUUUGUCCCCUUGUCCAUCAAAGCCCUCAACACUAAGCUGUAAUGUGUAUGUAUGUAUGUGUGUAUGUGUGUAGAUGUACCUGCACUGUUCAUUACUUCUCUUAAUUUUCACACAUUUCUGGUUUUAGUAAUUCACUCGUAUGGAAUUGAAUGAUUAUUUAACUGACAUGUUUUACUAACGAAUGAAUGUAUUUUGAUAAUUUGCUACUGUAUCAGAACACUGUGAUGUCCAAGGUGAAUUUCCCACUAGGACAAUACAGUUCAUCUUAUCUUUA